GAUGAACGCUAGCGGCAGGCUUAAUACAUGCAAGUCGAGGGACAGCACAGGUAGCAAUACUGGGUGGUAACCGGCAAACGGGUGCGGAACACGUACACAACCUUCCUUUAAGUGGGGGAUAGCCCAGAGAAAUUUGGAUUAAUACCCCGUAAUAUAGUUGAAUGGCAUCAUUUGAUUAUUAUAGCUACGGCGCUUAAUGAUGGGUGUGCGGCUGAUUAGAUAGUUGGCGGGGUAACGGCCCACCAAGUCUACGAUCAGUAGCUGAUGUGAGAGCAUGAUCAGCCACACGGGCACUGAGACACGGGCCCGACUCCUACGGGAGGCAGCAGUAAGGAAUAUUGGUCAAUGGACGCAAGUCUGAACCAGCCAUGCCGCGUGAAGGAUUAAGGUCCUCUGGAUUGUAAACUUCUUUUAUUUGGGACGAAAAAGGGUCUUUCUAGAUCAGCUGACGGUACCAGAUGAAUAAGCACCGGCUAACUCCGUGCCAGCAGCCGCAGUAACAC
rnacentral:rRNA from 1 species